UCGAACGAUGACUUUUGUAGCUUGCACAGAAUGAUUAUUGGCGAACGGGUGAGUAACACGUGAGUAACCUGCCCCUGACUUCGGGAUAAGCCUGGGAAACUGGGUCUAAUACCGGAUAUGCACCGUGGACCGCAUGKUUCUUGGUGRAAARACUUKUUGKYCAGGGAKGRMYYSGCGSCYUAUCAGCUUGUUGGUGAGGUAAUGGCUCACCAAGGCGACGACGGGUASCCGSCCUGAGAGGGUGACCGGCCACACUGGGACUGAGACACGGCCCAGAYUCCUACGGGAGGCAGCAGUGGGGAAUAUUGCACAAUGGGCGAAAGCCUGAUGCAGCGACGCCGCGUGAGGGAUGACGGCCUUCGGGUUGUAAACCUCUUUCAGUAGGGAAGAAGCGAAAGUGACGGUACCUGCAGAAGAAGCGCCGGCUAACUACGUGCCAGCAGCCGCGGUAAUACGUAGGGCGCAAGCGUUAUCCGGAAUUAUUGGGCGUAAAGAGCUCGUAGGCGGUUUGUCGCGUCUAUCGUGAAAGUCCGAGGCUCAACCUCGGAUCUGCGGUGGGUACGGGCAGACUAGAGUGAUGUAGGGGAGACUGGAAUUCCUGGUGUAGCGGUGAAAUGCGCAGAUAUCAGGAGGAACACCGAUGGCGAAGGCAGGUCUCUGGGCAUUAACUGACGCUGAGGAGCGAAAGCAUGGGGAGCGAACAGGAUUAGAUACCCUGGUAGUCCAUGCCGUAAACGUUGGGCACUAGGUGUGGGGGACAUUCCACGUUUUCCGCGCCGUAGCUAACGCAUUAAGUGCCCCGCCUGGGGAGUACGGCCGCAAGGCUAAAACUCAAAGGAAUUGACGGGGGCCCGCACAAGCGGCGGAGCAUGCGGAUUAAUUCGAUGCAACGCGAAGAACCUUACCAAGGCUUGACAUGUGCCAGACCGCCGUGGAAACACGGUUUCCCCUUUGGGGCUGGUUCACAGGUGGUGCAUGGUUGUCGUCAGCUCGUGUCGUGAGAUGUUGGGUUAAGUCCCGCAACGAGCGCAACCCUCGUUCCAUGUUGCCAGCGCGUAAAGGCGGGGACUCAUGGGAGACUGCCGGGGUCAACUCGGAGGAAGGUGGGGACGACGUCAAAUCAUCAUGCCCCUUAUGUCUUGGGCUUCACGCAUGCUACAAUGGCCGGUACAAUGGGUUGCGAUACUGUGAGGUGGARCUAAUCCCAAAAAGCCGGUCUCAGUUCGGAUUGGGGUCUGCAACUCSACCCCMUGAAGUCGGARUCSCUWGUAAUCSCARAWCAGCAACSCUSCSGKGAAWAMKUUCCCGGGCUCUURYACMCMCCGCCCGUCCNAAARUYACGAACCCAARYYCGGGGUAACMCCUUUGGGAGAASCCSRWGGCCURRYYSUAUGUUGASAMAGCCAACNNANCRGAGACA
rnacentral:rRNA from 1 species